CGAAAGGAAGCUUUGCACCUGCUCAUCCUCUCUAUUGCAAGAUUAGCAUUUGCCUCGCCAAACUGCAGCUCAUAGAAUCUCUUCCAUAGCUUAUCAGUUACUGGGCUAAGAUCUCGCCCUACUGUGCUUUUCUCUACAUGCAUCAACUGGUCCAAUGUACAAUGUGGUAAAAUGCGAUCAAGGAGAAGUAAAUCUGUUUCCCCAACGUCUCCUAAGUACCUCACAUGACUUAUUGCCACAUUAACACAAAGAUC
rnacentral:misc_RNA from 1 species